AAUAAGUGCAGUUUUGCACUAUUUACGUUUAAUGUUUAACUGUUCGCCUUAUUUAAAAAAAUUUUAUGAUUAGUAUUUUUAUUGUUAUUAGAUGAUAAAACAUGAAUAAUACUUUAUGUGUGACUAAAUAUUUUUAAAUUAUUCACAAAUUUUUCAAAUAAGAUGAACGGUUAACGUUGAGCACAAAUAUCCAUAGCUACAUUUAUU
rfam:Oryza sativa (indica cultivar-group) chromosome 2, whole genome shotgun sequence.